AAUAUCUUGCCCGUUUUCAGCAGUGUAUCUUAUAUCAAUUAGAUCACCGUACCACAGCAAGCACCCAGUUCCUCCAUCCCGGAUAUCCAAAUUUGUAUAAGCCGUGCAGGAGCAGUUCUUCAUGCACACCAUCUCACAUUCCUUGAGGUUCAUACUUUUGUUAUGCCAUGAUUGUUCUGUGCUAGGCAAUUUCACCCCCGAGUACUUUUGGAACAUGUCUCCGGUGCAAUUUAGAGAAGUCUUUCUCACACAGCCAUGAGACCAAUCCACCAAAUCCCAUUCUUUCGGGAACUUUGGUGUAAAUCCUUUCAAACAGCUACAAACCGGGGACUCUUCAAUGUUACAUGCACCAUGUACACCACACAAUGCAUAGUUUACACAGUCAUCAAUUUUGGCUGAUUGGUAAAGAACCCAACCUCUGGUUCUAUCAAUCCAUGUGUAGCGCUGCACAAGUCCAUCUGAAGUUAACACCACCCUCGAAAAGAUUGAGUUGUUGUGAAGCUUGUAACUGUAGUACAUUUCAUCAGGCUCAGAAACAAAACUGUAUGUGAAUAUAGGGUUUGGAUUGAACUGAGGGCUUCCACUGAACCCGACUCCAUUCCAUGGUCCAGACCGAUAUUUAAUGACCGAACCUUCCCUCACAAAUAAUUCUGCAUAUCCCUUGGGACCAAGUUGAGAUGUACGAUUUCCUUGAGAAGGAUCCUGAGGACUUUUCCACGAUCUAAGAUGCCAAUUGAAGCCUGUAACUGUGUUCCUACCAAUCUUCAUACCUGGUAAGAAUGUAUCGCCAGGGUAAUCAAAACCUUGCCACAGAAAGUUCUCAGAGUCGUCAUCACUCCUAUCUAUCACGACAAGAUUACCCGAAUCCAAAAGACGUGCCACUGGAUUCUGUGCAGUUCUCGAUGUGUUGGAGGACCAAAUUGUGCUCAUGUUGUGGUUGAGGACAAGAAUUCCGGGGUUGGUGACCUUCAAAACGCCGGACAUAUCAGCGAGGGGCUUGUCUCUGUUGGCAACCCACACAAUGGUUGUAACAGAUAUCUGUUUACCAUAUCGCCACGUACCGUCUAUUAGAAGCAUCAGGAUAGUAAAAUCCUAGCUCAAACGUACCGCCAGUUGAAACUACAGUCUCACCGUCUCUAAUGGACUGAAAUGUACUCGUGGCGUCAUCAGCUGUGGAGAUUACGGCUGCGACCAUGAGCAGCAAAGAAGAGUAGAAAAGAAGCAAGCACAUCUUAGCUAAAGCAUUUGACGGAUUUUUCAUAAACUUCAUGGGAAAGCACUGAAUAUUGUCUGUCAUUUGAACACCUUAUUGAAAUAACGUUGAUACCUUUUCCUGCAAGCAACCAAUCAUUUUCAAGUUCAAUAUUGUUGAAUAGUCGGGUGCGUGAGAAAGUUGUCUUCAAUCCGAAGUAGACUUCGCAUUCGGUUAAGAAUGAUGUUGUCGUAGCCGGAUAUUUCACUAUGACAACUAAGAUUGUUCAUCUAGUAGAAAAUAUCCGAAUUAAUAUGUGGUCAUAUCCAGUUCCCUCGGCUCAAAGGAAACUUAAAUGUCUGAUUGGUGUACUCUCUCGCAUUAGUCUUGUAUUCGAUAUCGUUUUCUUUCCUUUUCAAUUCUUGUAAUUCAAGAUUAAUCCCACGUUAGAAAGUAUCAAUAAGAGCGUCUUCGGUGGGCGAUAAUAUUCCCUGUAACUGGUUGUAUAUCUCAUUGUGUCUAUCUCCCUAAUCACGUUAAGUUUUUCAUUUUCAAAGUCAAUCUGUUACACAUGUAAUGGAUCAAUUUGGUACCCUGUCAUUUUCUUUAGUUUAUACUAAAAAUUAUUGGCCGCACGUUGUUGCAGGAUUAAAAAUUGUAAAAAGCAUUAUAUUUGAAAGAUAUAAAAGAUUGUGUCAAGAAGAUUAAUACAACUCAUUGCUAUAUUUAAUUGAUACUCCACAUAAAAAUCGUAGAAGUUUUGGCUAUCUAUGUACAUAAAAUAUUAGAUCAACACAUUCCACUUAGGUAGUUUUUGUGAUUUUCGAUUGACAGCAGUACUUAAAUACGAAAGAUUACGAAACUUUGGGUUAUUUACAUGAAAAAAAUGUUAAGAAAUACUGUCAUUUACAUUGAUAAAAUAUGACAAAAAUUGUUCAAUGGAAUACCAAAAGAUCACUCCACUACUCUUGAUUGUCAAGAAAUUAGUUUAAACCAAUCCAAAGAUCAAAACUCUUUCAAAAUUCCAUGUGUAUUCAGUUUCUCUAAAUCAACCAACUUCUCCAUUCCAAACCAUCUAACAAAUAUUUGGCAGCAAUACAGCCAUCAACAAACAUUUUAAACCCAUUUCCAUGUGUAUUAAUGAUUUUCAACCAAAUUAUUUGAAGAUGGGGAAUCACAGAGCGAGCUUAAUUAGGAACCAAAGAAGAUCUGCAAAAGCAAGUUAAGAGAUCAUCGUACUACAGAAGCAAAUUACAUAAUAAAAUUAAGAGAGCAUUAUAUUACCAAAGCAUAAUAAUAUGUUCAUUUCCAAAUGUAUUACGAAAACCUAUUGUUUCAUUUUUUUUCAACCCACAAAAUUUACAGUUUAGUUCAAAAAAUUUGAUCUGAUUAUUAAUAUUCACACGGAAAAGAUACGACUCAAAUGAACUGGGCAUUUGAAGUCACUUUCUUAUUUCUUAUAACCACAUCAGUAUCAUAUAUAUAUAUAUAUAUAUAUACAAACGUAGCAAAACAGCCCAGAGUUUUGGAACUGUAUAAAACGUAGCAAAAAGAAAAUGGGUUUGUUUCUUCACUUUGUUCCUCCUCCUUUCUUCUGAUACGUAGGUGCUUUGACACUUUGUACAGCUCCAAAGCUGCCUCCUUGAGAAAACCAGUUUUUGGAAGCUCAACAAACCCUGCUUCUCCCAGAUGGUUCUGAACAAAGCUUCACCUGCAUCACUCGCACCAUGGUCUAUACACCUACAUGCAACUUUUGAUUUGAUUAUUAUAUAUUUUAUUAUGUCGAUACUCUACUAUAGAAACAAAAAUAAUUACACAAUACAAUUCAAAAGGAGAAAUAGUUCUUCAACCCAGUUGCAAGAGACGUCGAAAAUAAAGAAAUGGAGAUAUGUGUAUUAACUUGUUCAUAUUUGAACACAUAUACUUAUCUAUGAUAUAUUUUUUACAGUAGCACAUGGCUAAAGAUAUGUUACGCGAUAAUAUAUGUUAUGCCAAUUAUUGACUGAAGACAUGGCAGAAGAAGCAAAACGAAAAACAAUGGCAAAGAAUUUAGAGAGAGAAAGUGAAUGACUAAAGAUUGUAUUCCUUGAACAAUGAAGGAAUUCCAGAGAGAGGCGUUCGUUAUUUAUACAAGUAUUCUUUGCUUCACUCAUAAGCUACUUACCAACUUUCUUAUCCCUACAAAUCCCAACAGACUAACAGCCUUCCUACAAUCUCAACAAACUAACUGCCUCGCUGAUGUGUGCCUUGCUGAUGUGUAACCUUCAUGCUGAUGUGUCUGUAGAGCCAUACUGAUGUGUACAUAUCAGUCAACAGACCCAUGGCCUGAAGCAAUAACUUUAUGUUUCUUGAGUAUUCAUCUAAUAAAAGGCUAUUUGGGACAAGACUGGAUCUUUAAGAUAAUCUGAUGUGCUGCAACAACAUACAUGGAGACCUAGAAAACAAAAAGCAAAGAGCAUUGGUAAGUAAUAAUAAAACAUAAAAAGUACACAAAUUUAUCAACAAGCCAUGAAUGACCAAUCUUGUGAUAAUUCCAAAUCAUGUUUUUUUUUUUUUUUUCAAAUGGUAAUUCAUUCAACACGAUAGAACUCCCUGUAUACAAGGAGGAGAGAUAAGCAUAUGAGAACACCAAAUAAACUUCAAUAGACCAUCUUUUACAAUCACACACACUAGUAAAACUGCUUGCAAGUCACAAUCUUUCACAUAGUUUUUCCUAAACCCCAUGCAUGCUUCCCUCCUAGCAAAGCAGUUACAAACUUACAUGAUGUCUGACAUGGUUAAAGACAAGGGCAACUUUUACAAAAGAAACGCACCAAGUAAUCAACCACAGAGCAUUAUCGUGUCUAUCAAGUCUCACAUGUUUUGUACAUCCUAAAUAAUGAAAAAGCAUUAUCAUUCAAUUCCAUCUUUAGCAGCUUUGGCCUUAUGAAGAAUCGCAGCUGCUAAAGAUGCUAAGCAUGGAAAAUCAAAAGCGUCCAACAAUGAAUAUAAAGUGGGAUAAAGUAUGCAACAAGAAAAUAAAUCACUAGGCUGGGGGAGGAAAAGAAGUUGGACAAAGGACAUGAUUUUACAACAAAAAAGAUAUCCGAUAAUUUGGCAACUGAUUGCCAACAAACAGGUUCUUACAACGAAAAAUAAUGACACCACUGAUGCACAAGGACAACUUGCUUAGCAUACUAUGACCAUACCUUCCAAUAUACAACAGCAACUAACAAGAAAAAGAAGCACGAUGCAAAACAAGAAUCAAAUAGAAAACUAAGAAAAACGUUAGCCAAAACCUAUAUAUUUCAUCUCUCCCUUCCCCCUAAAAGAAAAUACUAACAAGGAAUAAGAAAAUCCCUGGCAGGCAACGUUACAUUGUCCCUUCAACCCCUUUUCCUACCAAAAUAUUUCCACCCAUAGAGACACCUCUUCGACUAUCUAUGUUAAUUGUUACAGUCUCAGGGAAAUGCUCUAAAACCCACAGUGAUGCAGCUCUCCAAUAUGGAUGAGUGACCGAGGGACAUUUCAAACCCAUUUUCCAAUCUAGCCUACGCAUUUUCUUACGAUUUCACCAUGCAAGAAAGGCUUCUCAGUGUGUGUUUAACUCCCAGUACAAAGGGUUAUUUAUGCCGAACCCAAUUUUUGUGAAAAAAAUUAUGGAAUUUGCCAAAACCCCUAAAAAUAUUUAGCUCAAACACUUCACAAACGAUGAUUCUGCACUAAUUUUACGACCCCAAAGCAUCUCUUCUUUCAUAAAACACAAUUUGGGUCAAAACCCAAAUGUAUCAAAACUCAAUUAUACACACUGACCAAUAAUCAGUAAAAUAACCAUUAAAAUGCAUCAAACUGAUUAACAUUUCAGCUGACCAAAUGCAGAAAGAACCAGCUUUUUCCAUCAUACAAAGCCAAGCUCACAACCGAACCCACUAAAUCGCACAGCUCGGAACCAGAUCCAAUUCUUUACAAACCAGAAUCGUAAUAAACCUUAAAAAUCAGACUUUGUUCUUUUUCCCAAGCACAAGUUAAACCAGAGAAACCAAGAAAACUAACUUAUUUUCUCAUAAUCAUCAUAUUUUCCCAAAAAAAUUGAAAUUUUCCAUGGAAAAAUCAAGAAAACGAACCUGGAGAUGCAGCGGCUACGGGAGAAGACCGAGAUUGAACCUGGAAUGAACAUGUUUUUUAAUUUUCUGAUUUUAUUGCUGCGGCAAACUAAUUAGAAGGGAAAUCCCAAAAUCAAGUCUUAUAUUUUGGAGGCAUGUUUUCACUAAAUCAGUGUUCGUGUGUCCCCAACAAAUUGAGUGAGUUUAUGGCUGUUGCAUAUAAGGCUAGAUUGGAACUCUAAUACAUUAGGAUAGUGGGUUCCAAAAAUUUAAGAGUAUGAACAGAAAGAAAAACGCAUCAGACCUCCUAGAAGCAAUUUUUUUUUUUUCAGUUGCAGAUCGAAGCAAUACAAAGAAAGAGAAACCGAGAGGCAGAUCGUACCUAGACUGGAGAUGCAGAGCUGAAGUUCACAGAGAAGGUUGCAAAGGGGAGAUGCAGAGGAUGAGGAGGAAGGUUGCGAAGGGGGGAGAUGCAGAGGAGAGGAAUGAGGAAGACAACGGCAAGGCAGAGAGAAGAGAUAUUGUUUUAGGGUUUGUAAUGAUUUAGAUGGUGUAAUUUUUGAAAAAGAUAUGGGGUAUAUUUGUCUUAAAAUGGUAAAAUAUUGUGUUCCACAGGCGUGGAACAACCUGUUCCAGGGGGUAGACGCGGGACACAAAAACACCCAAAUUCUGUCCCGUGGAACAGCACGUUCCACCCUAUUUUGGCGUACCAAAGGCGGGACGGAACGUCUUGUCCCGUUCCGUCCCGUCCCAUCCCGCUUACCAAACGCACCCUAAGUGACCCUGGUGUGAAUAUUUCCCAGAGCCGAACAAUACCCUUUUUGUGCACAGUUUUGUGCAAACUGUAACAGGACAGAAUGGUUAUGAUCAUUACUGGUAAAGAAUAAGCAAUAUGCAACACUCGAGAACAGUAUUUUAAUGUAAUCUGCCUAAGGCUCUGGGUUUAAAUUUCAUCAUCCAUGUCAACUGCAAUAUCGACCGUGAUAUGCAAUACUUCAGAUUAAAAUACUUGUAACGCAACUCCAUACUUGCCAACAUGGAAGCAAAAGGAGGAAAGGAAUGCAUAUUCUACUUUACCUUCUGAGUAAGCACUUGAAAGCUCUUUUUGAACUCUUUUGUGCUCAUCCUAAUUUUGUGAUCGCUCAAUUUCAAGUGUAGCCUCUCUUUUCUAGUGAGAGAUUCCACUACAACCUGAUAGGCAUAUUCAAGCAUUUAAUAAUCUACAGAAAUUAACUCAGCAAUAUUAAAUAUCAAACCCACUUACUUACCAUCUAUCUUAUCCAACUCUUAUUUCGGUUUCUCUGUCAAAGCUUCGCAAUAAUCUAAUUCAAUUACUCUUCCUUGCUUUUUAAUAAGAUCCCUACAAUCAAACAAACAUAAUUAUUCUAGUAAACACAUUCGAAUUCAAACACAUAAAAGAUGUUAUUCAUACCCAUAUCGUCAUAUUGCUGCUCUGAUCUUGAAAAAUUAAAAUUAAUAAUAAUCGUUCAAAUCAUAUUACAAUAUAUCACAAACUAUGACAUCUGAUAAUCAAUACAUUUAAGAAAAUUUAAAAUGAAUUCAAUUCACUCCAAACGGUGAUAUUAUAUGUUCACAUAUAUAUUCACAACAACAACAAAAUCACUUUCUAGCCACUGGGAUAAAAAUAAGAACAGAAAACAUUAAUUCGAGUGCACAUAUGAACAUCACAUAAAAAUCAUAACAAAAUCCAAAACAGAAGGAGAGAUAACAAAAAUGAUAAUUUUUUGGGACUUACAAUUACAAUUAACCGAGUGUUGACUAGCCAGCCUGUCCAGGUUCGGUUAUACUUAACUCCAUGUCAUGAGUAGCUGUCCAACCAGGUUCAUAGGUUCAUAGCCUUGUUGGGGAGAUCAUGGGAAUGAACAAAUGGCACCCCGUUUGGCCACCCAAUCUCCAUUCUUAUAUUGGCACGGGGGCUAUCAAGUGUCUGAAUGUGAUUUUCACACUCCUUCACGUUGCAGAACCUCAGCUUGAUUCCCUUCUUGUCUGCAAUGUCUUGAACCCUUUCCUUCAGGACUCUCUGGGCCUCGACCCAUAAUCUCUUGGAAGGUGGCAGAGGUUUGUUUCUUUCACUCUUUCUCCUCCUCAACAAAGGCUUCAUAGAUCCUGUACCAGCAUUUCAUCGAUCCAAGGACCUGCUGUUAAAAGCUUCUCACAUAAGAGAUACACAUAAACACGUGCAAUCCAAUAUCAAGAGGACUCAAGAGACGGAUAUAAUUUUUAGAAGAUAAAACUAGAUUGAAGAUCCUUGUUAUGACAGCAGAAAUGCAAAAACUAUUAAGUAGUUGAUGAUUACUAUCAAUAGAGUUGGACUUAAUUUAGCUUAUACAUUGAACUUAUUUUUAGUGUGUGCAUGUGCUUCAUUCAGUCAGUAAGACCAAUCCUAAUUAAAGUAAGCUGUCAUUAAAAAAAUUGCAUUCAUGAAAUCAAUUUACAGUAUGUAACAAGCAGGCAAUUGGUAAAGAAGAUUAAAUGCAGCAUACCAUCUUGUGCUGCAUGGAAAUUGGAACUUUGGAAACUGUGUCUGUUAAAGAGUUGAUCGGUGGGGUGAGAUCUCUGCAUAAAGUCAUCAACCGCUACUGGAAGCUGGAACUGAGCUUCAACCCCAUGACCAGCAGCUCUCAUCUCUGAACAACUAAGACUGGUCAUGGAUUUAGGCAUGAAUUUAAAAGCCAAAGAACAUCGCCUAAACAAGUUGCUCUGUGUAUUAGCAGUCUCCGUUCUCUGUAGUGCAGGGUUAACAUAUCCUGCAGUUGCCUGAUAGAGUGCGAGUCCAGGGUAAACAAUAGCUUCUUGAGGACCAAGAUCGUCUUCCACAAGAACCCAACGACCCUGAAAGUCCUUUAUGUGUAGACCAGCCUUGUCUGACUUGACAAGAGAUAUCAAGCUUUUGUCAACUUGAUGCUCAUGGUCAGAAAACAUAACCAACUGGCCAUCCUCUUGGGUCGUAAAACUAUGGUGUUAUGUAACCUGAAAUGAUGGCCUUGCAUGACAACAGACAGAUAAUACUGAAGAAGAUAUUUACCUGUUUCUUAAGGGAACAUUAUCAAGUACUUCAGUAAAUGGUGAACUCCUCAAGUUCAAAUAGAAGCUGAUAGUGUCCAAUAUAUCUCGAGCUGCCUUUGCAAGCAGUGAAAAUAUAUCUGGUAAAGCUGCUGGAGCAAAUUCCAUUGUGUUGUCGGGCUCUAAAGGAGUGAGUCCAGGUCUGUAAUCAUAGGUUUCUAGCCACAAUUGAGGAUCUGCAUUAUAACCGGAAGUCUUGCACCAGUCACGAGGGUCAUUGUUAUUAACCAUAUCUGCAGCUGGGUAUGAUGCUUUCUGGUGGAAGUAGAGGCGAGCCGAAUCUAAACCCGACCUCAAAAGUGCCCCAUCACUCACUGGAAACUGAAUGAUGGCAGCAGAAUAGAGUGCUAGUGAUUGUGACAAAGUUGAAACAGAUAGUCUGUAAGAAUCUGAUGGAAGGCCUUCAGCAGGUGCCAGAUCAGUUAGCUUCACACGACCUAGAGAUGGCAGGCCAUUACUUGCCAUGACACCCUUUGGGUAUACUUGCUACCUGAUUUUGAAGAGAGGCACAGGUUACCACUGACAUAACUCAAAAUUAAUAAACUGAAAACAGCAUAAUCAUUCAUCAAUCAGAAUCUCCUCUCUUUUUUAAUGAGAAUUUAGGAACUCCUUGACCCCUAAGUUGAAGCCACAAAAACUGAACCAUCUACGUACUGUAAAGAAAGAAAGUAUAUGAAGCAUAAAUAUAUACGUACAAAUACAUGUGUGUACAUAUAUGAACGUUUUAUAUUGAAAAAGUGCUCUCCUAAGGUCCUUAAAAAUGUCAAGCUGCUCAACUAUUGAUCGUAUAUGUAUGCUAGAAAUGCAAGAUCUAUGAUACGUUGCAUGCCGAGGGGACAUUUGACCUAUGUAUGGAUAAAGUUAGAAACCAAGUUUUCCAAAUUACUAGUAUGAGCAACCAAGACAAAAACUUUUCUUAUUAAACUUGGAUCUAAUAAUCUCGUUAGUCAGGAAAUUGAAGUGAUGUCCAAAAUCUGCCACAAUGUCAUCUAAACUCAACACAAACUAGCAGUGUGGCUAAGUCAAACGAUUGUCUGAUACGAAAAAAGUAAAAUUGCUUAACAGUUCUGCAAGAUGAAGACUAAAUGCUACAGCAUCGACCGGAAACACUCUUCCAGACACUAAACCAUAUUCCUUCCAAGUAUAUUGUCCAAACGGGGUAGUCUUUGCUCAUACAGAAGAUUGAAAAUCUUUAAACACACUCGAUGCAGCGAGGAACGAUUACUGUCUCCAUUAAGAUUUAUGCAACUGUUAAAAUGUUGGGUUUGUUUAAAAAAUUGUACUACUUUUCUCCCCAAUUUUCAAAUAAACAAAUCAUAAGUGGCAAGAGCCCAUAAGACCAAUUGGCAACAAUUUGCAAUCCAGAUUUUAGCUUCAUUUAUUGUUACCCAUCAACUAACUCAAUUCAAAAAGUGGAAAAAAAAACUGGAACAAUUUGUUUCCUUUACUUCCAUCUAGUAAAUAUAGAAAUGGUUCAAGAACACGGGAAAUUCCCAAUUCUCAAAACAAACAGAGAGAGAGAAAGAACUGACCUUUAUUGGUAGAAAAUGUUAAAUUCAGGGGAAGAUUAGGGCUUUACAAAAGGACGAGAGGAGAGGAACACACAACACAGUGCUUUUUUUUUAUUUACGGUUACAUCUUAAUGGUGGAUUUGACUUGCGGCAACGAAAACUUGGUGAUGAGAUGAAAAUUUUGGAUUUGGAAGUGACGGAACACAGAGGUUGUCGAAAGCCAUAUCACAUACUUAGACAUGUCUUUCCGCGUCUUAUGCUAGAGAAAUUUAUGUAAGAAGUAACUAUUGUUAUUCACACGUCUAUUUUUAUUUCAAAUAUUUUUAUUAAUGUUUAGCCUUGAUUUUUUUCAAUUUACUCAAUUCGAGGAGCAAAUAUUGAAAGGAUGUGUCAUAAGUAAAAAUUUGUGUGUAGAUAACAUUACUUUCUAUUUUAUAUACAAUUGUUAUUUGGGGUUUUUAAUCUGUUUUGGGGAAUUCAACAAAACCGUCAUAAAACUUAUUUUCAUAGAACUUUCGUUGUUUUGUAAAAUUUUUCAGAAUUCAUUUAAAACGUUUCGAAAAUGUUCCAAUUGAUGAAAAUUUGUUCUAGCCGCAUACUGAAAUCUAUUGGAAUUUUUUCACGUUAAAUUUUUUUUUUUUUGGCCUUAAAAAUGAACAAUGCUUGGCCACUCAAGAAUAAAAAUAUCUCAGAAACAAUUCAUAAUACUUUUAUCAAUUUCUAUCAUAUGUUUUUAUAUAGCUCAAUGACUAAACAACAUCAUAUUUUAUUUUUAUUUUUUUGUUGAAAAUCUUUACGAAUCGAUUUAUAAUAUGACAGUUCCGAUCACAUUCACAAACUUUUAUGAAUCGGCCUGAAGAGUGCAUCUAUGUGACAAUGACUUAUAUAACAUUGUCUUCCAAUUGAAGAAGUUAUAGGAAAAUCAAGAGACAAAAUAAAGAUAGAAGUGCGUACAAAAAUCAUUUCCAAUAUUUUAUCGAGCCUCGACUAGUGAAAUAGUGACUUCAUUAACUGAGCAUGCUUUAGAAGAAUGACCAACUUCGAGUUCAGUCAGAUCCCUUUCACUGUAAAAACCAGGUUUUAGAGGUGGGGGCAACACACCUCCACCACCCAACAUUAGAACUACAGCUGACAUGCUAGGCCUGUCUUCUGGAUUCCGUUGUACGCACAAAAGGCCCACAUGAAUCGUUCUUACAACUUCAUGCAGAGUGACGGAGUCCUCUACCGAUGCAUCAAGCAAUUUGAGAGGCAUGCCUUCUGUGUAUAACAUCCAAGCCUAAAACACGCAAACUAGGCUACUUAACAAAAGUAACAAAGUAGAGCAAUAAGAAUUUUUAACUUGACAUUUGAUGCUGUCACACUCACAUGUCCAAGAAGGUUGAGUUUGUGGUCUGGAUGAGAGAAUCCUCUAUUUCUGCUCCCACUCACUAUCUCUAGCACCAGAACACCAAAGCUAUAGACGUCGGAUUUUAUAGAGUAGAAACCAUCAAUUGCAUAUUCUGGAGACAUGUAACCGCUGUAGACCAAUGUGUCAAAAAACGUUUUUAUACGCAAAGAAUCUAGACUUUCUAGUUUCUAUUAGUGUUUUUGAAAAUUCGUAAAAAAGGACUCGUACAAUUGUGUUUUAGGAUACUUACUAUGUUCCGACCACUUUCUUCGUUUUUGCUUUCGUUUCAUUUCCUCCAAAGCUUCUAGCUAGGCCAAAGUCUGAGAUUUUCGGGUUAAAUUCACUGCCUAAUAAAAUGUUACUUGCUUUGAGAUCUCUAUGAAUAACUCUCAAUGUAGAAUCUUGAUGAAGAUAGAGGAGCCCUCGAGCUAUCCCAUUAAUAAUUUCAAAGCGCUUCGACCAGUCUAAUAACAUCCUUCUUCUUUGAUCUGCAAAAUAUCAUAAUUCACAAUUGUCAAAAAAUACAUCGUGCUAGGCUGCUUGCAUAAGCGGACUAAUCGAACUAAAUGCAAGGUUUUUGAGUGGUCAAACCAAAAAUAAAGAAGUCUAAGCUCUUGUUAGGCAUGAACUCGUAGAUCAAUAUCAUCUCGUCUUCUUGAAUGCAGCAUCCAAGAAGCUUCACUAGAUUCCUGUGCUGAAGUUUGGCAAUAUGUGUAACUUCAUUCUUGAACUCGUCGAGUCCUUGUCUAGAACUUUUUGAAAGCCUUUUCACUGCGAUUUCUUGUCCAUCUUCCAUCGUACCCUAAAAUCCAUCAACGUAUGUUAUGACCAAAAUUCAUACUUUGUAGUUUGCACACUACUUGUAUCCAUCAUUCCAUAUUAUGACCAGAAGUACAUGUAUCUAUACAACUUCGAAACUAUGAAGGACUAUCUGGUUUGACCUUAAAGACAGAUCCGAAACCGCCUUCACCAAGUUUGUUUUCAAUUGAAAAGUUACUGGUUGCAGAAACUAUAGUCAUCAAGUCAAAUAACGGUAAUUCCAGAUCCUCCUUUUGGUUGCGACCUAGUUUUCCUGCAAAGACGCAGUGACAGGUGAAAAAAAAUUCCCUAUACAACCGAACUAUGUAGUUUGGAAAGUAGAGAGGCAGAAUAGUGCUACCAACUUACCACCUUUUUGGUGCUGCUUCUUCCAAACAUAAAACAGCAAGGCAAGGCCCAGGAUCAGCAGUCCGAUAGACAACACAGUAGUGCUUAUUAUGAUCCUCAUUUUCUUUGCAUUGGAUUCAGAGUAUUUAGCGUUGAUCUUUGUAUCGUCUUCAUAAUCUACAAAUGAUAUUUUUGAAGACAAAAAAUCUAUGAGGUGGAGAGUAAUAAAUAAAUAAAUAAAUAAUGUAUAAUGUCUAUCAUCCGACUAAUAGUUUCUAGUUUGUGAGACAAUUGUAAAAGAAGAUAUUGCUAAUUGUGUCAAAAUUCACAGUUAAAACUGUCCGAAUUAGUACAAUGUUUCACUUCGUUAUGUCUUGACUUUGUUUCGAGCAUAUGAUUAUGACUAAAUGCAUAGUCACCAACAAGUGCUUUUUACAUACCUUGUUCUGCUGCGGCCAUUCUUAUAUAAAUAUCUUGCCCGUUUUCAGCAAUGUAUCUUAUAUCAAUUAGAUCACCGUACCAAAGCAAGCACCCAGUUCCUCCAUCCCGGAUAUCCAAAUUUGUAUAAGCCGUGCAGGAGCAGUUCUUCAUGCACACCAUCUCACAUUCCUUGAGGUUCGUACUUCUGUUAAACCAGGAUUGUUCUGUGCUAGGCAAUUUCAACCCCGAGUACUUUUGGAACACGUCUCCGGUGCAAUUUAGAGAAGUCUUUCUCACACAACCAUUAGACCAAUCUACCAAAUCCCAUUCUUUCGGAAACUU
rnacentral:lncRNA from 1 species